AGCAGCAGUAGCCUUGGGCUUAGCAGCAGGCUUUGCCUUAGCAACUGGCUUAGCCUUAGCAGCAGAUUUCGCCUUGGCAACAGGCUUAGCCUUAGCAGCCGGCUUAGCUUUAGCAGCUGGCUUUGCCUUAGCAGCCGGCUUGGCCUUUGCAGCCGGUUUUGCCUUAGCAGAAGGCUUUGCCUUGGGCUUAGCCUUGGUAGCGGGCUUUGCCUUUGCAGCAGGCUUCUUCUUCGCUGGAGUAGCAGCAGCAGCAGCAGACGGCUUAGAAGCCGAUGGAAGCUUGUAGGAGCUUUUCACCUUCACCAGUUUCCCCGAAGCAACAACCCUCUUCAACUGAUUCAGCAACACUUUCUUGAAAUUUGGUGGAAGAUUU
rnacentral:lncRNA from 1 species